rnacentral:rRNA from 1 species
GGAAGGGUUGUAUUUAUUAGAUAAAGAACCAAUAUAAUUGGUGACUCAUAAUAACUUUACGGAUCACAAUAAAUGUGACAUAUCAUUCAAGUUUCUGACCUAUCAGCUUUAGACGGNNGGGUAUUGGCCUACCGUGGCAAUGACGGGUAACGGGGAAUUAGGGUUCGAUUCCGGAGAGGGAGCCUGAGAAACGGCUACCACAUCUAAGGAAGGCAGCAGGCGCGCAAAUUACCCAAUCCUAAUACAGGGAGGUAGUGACAAGAAAUAACAAUACAGGACUUUUUGGUUUUGUAAUUGGAAUGAGUUAAGUAUAAACCCCUUUACAAGUAUCAAUUGGAGGGCAAGUCUGGUGCCAGCAGCCGCGGUAAUUCCAGCUCCAAUAGCGUAUAUUAAAGUUGUUGCAGUUAAAAAGCUCGUAGUUGGAUUUCUGUUAAUAAUUUAUAUAUAGAAUAUUUUGAAAGAUAUUUUUAUAUAAUAUUAACAUAAUUCAUAUUACUAUAUUUUUUUAGUAUAUGAAAUUUUACUUUGAGAAAAUUAGAGUGCUUAAAGCAGGCAUAUGCCUUGAAUACUCCAGCAUGGAAUAAUAUUAAAGAUUUUUAUCUUUCUUAUUGGUUCUAAGAUAAGAAUAAUGAUUAAUAGGGACAGUUGGGGGCAUUUGUAUUUAACAGUCAGAGGUGAAAUUCUUAGAUUUGUUAAAGACAAACUAAUGCGAAAGCAUUUGCCAAGGAUGUUUUCAUUAAUCAAGAACGAAAGUUAGGGGAUCGAAGACGAUCAGAUACCGUCGUAGUCUUAACCAUAAACUAUGCCAACUAGAGAUUGGAGGUUGUUCCUUACUCCUU